rnacentral:lncRNA from 1 species
CAACAAAACUGGUGUCAAUUAGGCCACAGCAUAGAGUUAUAUUAAAAGUUUUAGAUAUUGAUUAGUUUGUUGAUAGUGGCAUUUUCCAGUAACUCGCCCCACGCAAACUUUUCUUUUGGGUGUCAAUUUUGUUUUGUUUGUCUUUUAUCAGGCCAAAAUUACCCCAUGUCCACAUCACCACCAUCACUUUGCCUUAAUACAACAAAAUUGUGAAGAAUGAAGAGAGCUUGAUGAGGCAAACUAAAACAAACAGUGUCAGCCACUCCUACCAAUGCAAACUUCCAGAUGUUUUGCCCGAAAUAGCAAGAAUUCUAAUCUCCAAGGUUAUGCUCCAACCUACAUAACAAUCAAUGUAAAAAAAUAGGAAAACAAAUAAUAAAAAAAAAAAAAGAAAAAGAAAAAGGGGAUCGGACAGUGGGAUCGGCAACCGAAGCCGGCAAGGCGGGCGAUGGAAGAUAAAAACAGUCAGAGAAGUCGCCCGUCACAGAGGAGUGAAGGAAGCUCGGAACUUAAAGGCGCAUUUUGUACGACAAAGCAUUACCAAGAGAGGAACGAAAAAGCUGCUGCUAGUACGGGUACGGCCACCUCAUCUUUUUCGACAUAAGGGCACACUUAAUUAGGGACUUGGGGAUCCGGACUGUGUAGAAAUAUGGUUAAUCGGUCCAUCCAUCAAAUCGGUCUACUUGGGAUGGGGAUUGAAACACUUGUUGUUUUUUUCUGAACAUGUUUUCUACAAAAAUGCAUUGACAGACAAAGAAAGCUAUGGGAACAUAAUCAAGGCCAUGGAUAAUCUUCAGGUUUAUUGCGGCAACUUUGGGGAAGUCGCAUGAAAAGAUGCAGGGCACAUACCAACAUAUUUAACAUGACUAACUGUUUGAUGUCAAAGUUAGUUGGAACUCAACUCACUGUAUGACAUGACCAUGGUAUAAUAGGUUGGUUCAACCUAUUAUACCAUGGUAUGACUAACGCAGAUAACUGUUGGUGCUGUUGCAUUACAGUUUACAGCCACAGGCAGGAAAAUUAUUUUUUUCUUCAGAAAAUUGCAAGUUUAAUUGUUUGUCUUGACACCCAACACUUUCUGGAAAGCUGCUGGAGUAAUCUGGUGUUGAUGCUCAUUUGAUUCAUUUCAUGCCAGCUAGUGAAAGCCGAAAGGCAUGUCGAAUUCAAGUUGAGCUGCUGUGUGCUGUCUGGAAUCAAGCAAUCCAUCCGUUGCGUUCAGUCAUUUGAACAGGAAUCUAAUGGCUGUCAAUAGGUGGCUGAAAUGAUGUCCACCAGGUAGCGCGAGUGUCUUUAGCACUGACGCAUAGCGGCCAUUAUGUUCCUAGACGAAGCAGAGAUGGGUUGCUGGUCCUGACGUUUCUCACGAUGAAAAUUAAAAGAAACCAAUUUGCAAAUUCAUUCAACUCAGACUUGGAAGUGCCUGUACAUUGCCGAAAUGGCGUGCCUCGUGUGUCUUGCUGCCUGUUCUUAGGCGUACGUCUCAUCCCAUGCAACAGCAAAAAGUAUAACAAACACUUCUUUAACACUGUUGGUUACCUUGUUGCAGCCAAAUGGUGAAAGGUGUGACAAAGACAGAUUGAACCGUUGUAUGCAGCAUGAGGUUGCAGUGUGAUCCAGAAGUAGCCGUGUUGGACCUGAAAUUGCUGUGCUGUUGUACCCGAGCUGUUCCAUCUGGGUUCCUGACUUGAAAAUUUUUGUGUUGUUGUUUGCCUGCCAGUAUUUUGUAUUGUGAUUUCAAAUAGUUUGAUCUGUCGUCUUUUGAGUUUUCAUUCAAUCAUGCAGUAUACGACUGAGGCAACCUGAUCAAUGUCAGGUUUGACACAGUCGAGAACUGCUAGAUCAAACAAGCUUUCUGUGCCAAACAAAUAAUAACUCGCAUAUAAUUUGCAUCAUGUUAUUAGCGCGGUAGAGAAAGCGACAGGCCCCCCCCCCCCCUGGGGGCCACAGGAAAAAUAUGUAU